GCCUGGCCGUCAUAGCGAGGGGCCAACACUCGAUCCCAUCUCGAACUCGACAGUGAAAACCCUCAGCGCCUAUGGUACUUGGUCUUAAGGCCUGGAAGAGUCGGUCGCCGCCAGGC
rnacentral:rRNA from 1 species